UACGGAAGGUCCGGGCGUUAUCCGGAUUUAUUGGGUUUAAAGGGAGCGUAGGCCGUUUGGUAAGCGUGUUGUGAAAUGUCGGGGCUCAACUUGGGCAUUGCAGCGCGAACUGCCAGACUUGAGUGCGCAGGAAGUAGGCGGAAUUCGUCGUGUAGCGGUGAAAUGCUUAGAUAUGACGAAGAACUCCGAUUGCGAAGGCAGCCUGCUGUAGCGCAACUGACGCUGAAGCUCGAAAGCGUGGGUAUCGAACAGG
rnacentral:rRNA from 1 species